UACGUGAAACCGUUUAGGGGUAAACCUGAGAAACCCGARAGUUCGAACGAGGAGAUUCAGUGUGUUUCGGCGAAUGCGAGUGCCGUUUGGUAGACAAUUGUCGUUCGCGUCAGUUGCUCCUUACGUGCGCCGUUGUUUGUCGAACGCGUGCACUUCUCCUCCAGUAGGACGUCGCGACCCGUUGGGUGUCGGUCUGAGGCUCGCAGUGGAGCCCGUUCGUCGGUUUCGGCCGUCGUUCGGACCUGUGAUGUCCCGUCCGGCUGCUUGACGGUAGAAUAAAGGCGCAGGGCCGCGACUUGCUCGCGUUCGGCCCGAUACAAGCACAGACGGUUACUCGAUCAUCGGACUAGCGCCGAUCUCGGGGCCGGUCGACUGUUGGUGUCGGUGUUCCCGAACAGACUCUGUUCACGCCUGUCAGCGGCGCUAUAGCUUUGGGUACUUUCAGGGCCCGUCUUGAAACACGGACCAAGGAGUCUAGCAUGUGCGCGAGUCAUUGGGACUCGAGAAUCCUAAAGGCGAAAUGAAAGUAAAGGUAGAGCUUGCUCGACCAAGGGAAGACGGGUGGCCUAGGCCGCCUUGCACUCCCGGGGCGUCUCAUUCUCAUUGCGAGAAGAGGCGCACCUAGAGCGUACAUGCUGGGACCCGAAAGAUGGUGAACUAUGCCUGGUCAGGACGAAGUCAGGGGAAACCCUGAUGGAGGUCCGUAGCGAUUCUGACGUGCAAAUCGAUCGUCGGAACUGGGUAUAGGGGCGAAAGACUAAUCGAACCAUC
rnacentral:rRNA from 1 species